rnacentral:rRNA from 1 species
CAGUCGCCGCGGUAAUACGUAGGUGGCAAGCGUUGUCCGGAAUUAUUGGGCGUAAAGGGCUCGCAGGCGGUUUAUUAAGUCUGAUGUGAAAGCCCCCGGCUCAACCGGGGAGGGUCAUUGGAAACUGGGAAACUUGAGUGCAGAAGAAGAGAGUGGAAUUCCACGUGUAGCGGUGAAAUGCGUAGAGAUGUGGAGGAACACCAGUGGCGAAGGCGACUCCCUGGUCUGUAACUGACGCUGAGGAGCGAAAGCGUGGGGAGCGAACAGGAUUAGAUACCCCGGUAGUCCCUGUCUCUUAUAA